rnacentral:rRNA from 1 species
UACAGAGGGGGCAAGCGUUAUUCGGAAUUAUUGGGCGUAAAGGGCGCGUAGGCGGCUUUGCAAGUGGCGGGUGAAAUUCCUCGGCUUAACCGAGGAACUGCCUGCCAGACUGCAAGGCUCGAGACCGGGAGAGGUGAGUGGAAUUCCCAGUGUAGCGGUGAAAUGCGUAGAUAUUGGGAGGAACACCAGUGGCGAAGGCGGCUCACUGGACCGGAACUGACGCUGAGGUGCGAAAGCGUGGGGAGCAAACAGG